rnacentral:sRNA from 1 species
ACACACACACUCACCCACCUCCAAGUUUGCUGGAACCUUGGGAUUGAAUUUGACUCUGUAGACCAAUUUGGGGAGCACUGACAUCUUUAUACUGUUGAGUCUUCCAGUCCACUUAUAUGGUGAAAUUGCCAAAUACAUGGAAACAGUGAAAUUACUAGACUACACUGAAAAACCUCUUUAUGAAAAUUUACGUGACAUUCUUUUGCAAGGACUAAAAGCUAUAGGAAGUAAGGAUGAUGGCAAAUUGGACCUCAGUGUUGUGGAGAAUGGAGGUUUGAAAGCAAAAACAAUAACAAAGAAGCGAAAGAAAGAAAUUGAGGAAAGCAAGGAACCUGGUGUUGAAGAUGUGGAAUGGUCAAACACACAGACAGAGGAGGCCAUACAGACCCGUUCAAGAACCAGAAAGAGAGUCCAGAAGUAAUUCAGAUGCUGUGAACCAGAUUUCCUUUUCUUUGUUUUCUUUUGACUUUUUUCUCCUUUUCUAUUUGAACUGUUUUAUUUUCCUGUGAGUCUUGCGAGGUGGAAGUAAUGAUUAAAUACUCAUGUGUUCAGAAAACAUAAACUUUUUUUAUAAAAAUAUUUUGUACAAUUCAUUAAAGGCUAA